UAGAUGGGAAUCACACGCUAAUUAGAUGGAGGAUCGUGGUCCAUGGUGGAGUAGAUGGAUUUUCCAGGUUAAUAGUGUACCUUGAUGCUUCCACCAACAAUAGAGCUUUGACUGUUCUCCAUAGCUUCAUAUCGGCUGCUGGCCAGUAUGGUGUACCUUCUCGAGUUCGAUCUGACAAGGGGGGUGAAAAUGUGAUGAUUGCUCAGUUUAUGGUCCAAACUAAUGGAGUGAACAGGAAUUCUCAUAUGACUAGAAGAAGUGUGCAUAACCAGAGAAUAGAGCGCCUUUGGAGAAAUGUUUAUUAGAAUGUGCUUGAUCUGUACUACACAGUCUUCAUGCAAAUGGAAGCCGAGGGAAUUCUAAAUCCAGAUGAUGAGAUUGAGUUGUAUUCACUACACAGAUGCUUCAUGCCACAUAUUCAACAUGGCCUUCACUGCUUCAAGGAGGCAUGGGAUAACCAUG